rnacentral:rRNA from 1 species
GAUAGAACGCUGGCGGCAUCGCCGUAAUACAUGCAAGUCGAACGGACUAAAGAGAAAAGCUUGCGUUUUUUGGAAGUCAGUGGCGAACGGGUGAGUAACACGUAGGUAACCUGCCCAUGUGCCCGGGAUAAUUUCUGGAAACGGAAACUAAAACCGGAUAGGUAGGGAUCUCGCAUGAGGACCUUAUUAAAGGGGCUGCGGCCCUGAACAUGGAUGGACCUGCGGUGCAUUAGCUGGUUGGUGGGGUAACGGCCUACCAAGGCGACGAUGCAUAGCCGACCUGAGAGGGCGAACGGCCACAUUGGGACUGAGACACGGCCCAA